UACGUAGGGGGCAAGCGUUGUCCGGAAUCAUUGGGCGUAAAGAGCGUGUAGGCGGCCAGAUAAGUCCGCUGUGAAAUCUCGAGGCUCAACUUCGAGCUGUCGGUGGAAACUGUCUGGUUAGAGUCCGGAAGAGGAGAAUGGAAUUCCUGGUGUAGCGGUGAAAUGCGCAGAUAUCAGGAAGAACACCCGUGGCGAAGGCGGUUCUCUGGGACGGUACUGACGCUGAGACGCGAAAGCGUGGGGAGCGAACAGG
rnacentral:rRNA from 1 species